rnacentral:rRNA from 1 species
UACGAAGGUGGCAAGCGUUGUUCGGAUUUACUGGGCGUACAGGGAGCGUAGGCGGUUCGGUAAGCCCUCUGUGAAAUCUCCAGGCUUAACCUGGAACAGUCGGAGGGGACUGCCGGGCUAGAGUCCGGAAGAGGCGAGUGGAACUCCUGGUGUAGCGGUGGAAUGCGCAGAUAUCAGGAAGAACACCAACGGCGAAGGCAGCUCGCUGGGACGGUACUGACGCUGAGACGCGAAAGCGUGGGGAGCGAACAGG